GUGCUCACUUCAGCAGCACAUAUAUUGAAAUUGGAAUGAUAAAGAAAUUAGCAUAGCUCUGUGCAAGGAUGACACGCAAAUGCAUGAAGUGUUCCAGAUUUUU